UUCCUCGAACAAUUUUGCAACCACAUUUAAAAAGUCCUAAUCACAAAAGCACACUAUGCAAUAUCCUAGCUUAUCAACCAUUUCUAACAUAACACUACUCAUCAAUUCACGUCUGACAUCCCCUCUACUGAUUUCAUUUCUUAGCAUAAAUAUAAAGUGAAUGCUUCUCUCUAAAUUUCUCUCUUGAGUCAAAGUCUGCUUCCAUUGCAGGAUCAGUGACCAAGAUUGGACAGGCUUCCAUGAAUCAAAACUUAAUGGUGGUUGCCACCAAGUUCUGUUCACUUCUUUUUGACCUAUAUCCAAAAGUUCUUUGCGAAAGCGAGCCUUGAAGAUUGCAGCCUCCAAGUCCCGUUUCGAACUCUUUUAUUUGAGUCUUUAUGAAUCAAGUCUUAAUGGUUUUAGCCACCAAGUCCUGUUCAGACUCAUCCUAAUUAAACAAUAGAUCUUAUUUAUUUUUUUUUUAUUAUAUAUAUAUAUUUUUUUUUUAUACUCACUAACUAAUCUAGGGUCGAUAUUUAGAGAGAGAAAAUGUGAUAAAUAAUCUAAACCAGGCGUUACCUUCCAGACCUGUCUGAAGAAUCCGAUCCCAUGUAUACGAAGCCCCAAGACAAGCGGUUAUGUCAGGUUUAGUGUUGGAAAUCAGCUUUGGUUACUUCAUACGGUUCAAGGCAAGGGUGUAGUUGAUAGGUUGAUCCGCUUUAGCAUCUUUAGUGCUAUCUGCAAUCAGUAAAUCUAAAAUGGUGCUAAAGAUUGGUUAGAUAUUCAUGUUUAAAUCAAUAUAAGAUCAUAGUCCCUAUUUUCAAUAGCUAAGCAUAAUUUAUUAAAUUCCUUUUUACAUAAGAAUAAAAUAAAUUAUAUCAGUAAAUCUCCCCACAGACUUAAAUUACACUGUCCCAGUGUAACUCAGCCGGAGUUAUGAUGAAUAGUUUAUGAUGUACGAAAUGUAACAAGUAAGGAAGAUACAUCUGAC
rnacentral:lncRNA from 1 species